rnacentral:lncRNA from 1 species
AGCAUAGCACAUUGAAAUUAGCUACAACCGACCAGUUUGAAACAGAAAAAAAGUCCAAUUCAUUGUUUUGAAAGGUGACUGACAGAAAGGAGCCCAAAUCAUGUGAAUUCUUGGUCUAAUCUACAUACUCAGACCAAGAUUCAAGUCGUCUGCCAAGUUCACUCUCUUUUCUUUACUGUUUUUGUUUUUUGACAAUCAACCCAGGCAUAAAAUUACCACAAUUAAACUGAAAAAGAUUCGGAAAUCUUAGCCAAUAUACAUUUUUAAUAGAACAACCUUUUUAAAACGUAUCUCGAAUUCCAGUCUUGCUCUCUAAUUCCACUUUAGUCCCAGUGGCAAAAGAGUGCAUUUUUAGAAUUGGAUCAGUUUACUUUGGUAUAAUUUAUCACUACUUAUAUAUAUUUUAUCAGAAGCAAAUCAAAUAAAAUGCAUGUGCAUGUAUGAUAUGAAAAAAUUCCAAAGUAACCUUGGUGGAAAUAGUGGGGGUGGGGUCUACGUGGUCAUCAGAAAUGACAACGUAAUCGGCCAAAACGAAGACGCUAUUCUGGAUUUCUUCCCACACGCACUUGGUCCCAGUCGCCGGUAAAUUCAACCAUAUGGCCUCGCUUCUCCUCAAAACGCACAGCACGAUUAACAUGAGCCAUCCAAGAACGUUAAAAACCGCCCCCAUCACUUUCCUCACAAACUCCAAUUGAUCUUCGUGUGUAAUUAUAGCAGUAAUAUGUAUAUGAACUGUGCUUUUGGAUCUGGAAAAAUGGAACCUCGGCUGGAUCAAACAGAUUGAAUACCGCGGUUUCCGUUCGGGUUUCCUUUUUUUCUUGAACAAAGCUCCCUGCAUUCUUUUGA